rnacentral:SRP_RNA from 1 species
UGAGAGAUUGUGCGGGCAAGCGCCUCGCCAACCUGGUCAGGUCCGGAAGGAAGCAGCCACAACGAGUACCGUUUGGGUCGUUGCAAUCUCUCACCU